GAGGGAGCUUCCUCUGGGCCGAGGGUCAGCCAAUGCAAAUGCCCUGGGCUGGGAAUGUGGUUGGAAGGGGCUGUUGGCAGGCAGGAAGGUGAGCAAGACAGUGUGAGUGAGGGAAGAGCCUGCGGGGCUUUGCAACGCCUGUGCAGACCCUGGUCCCACUCCAAGUGGAUGGGAGCCGUGGAGGGUUUUGAGCAGGGAAGCCAGAAGUGACUUAGGUGUUAAGCAGAUUACUCUGGCUGCUGAGGGAGAGCAGAUUGCAGGUGCAGCUCCAAAUGUGAAGCAGAGAGCACAGGUAGGAGUCUGUGCAAUGGCUGAGGGGACAGAUGGUGGCACCCAGCAGGUGGACAGCUGCAAAGUGGGACAGGAGGACAAAAGGAAGAGGCGAAGACAAUUCCAAGGCUUCUGGCCUCAGUAAUUCACAGGUACAAUUGCUCUCAGUGGGAUGGGGAAGGUGUGUGGAUGUGUGUAUGUACACACAUGUGCAUGCAUGUAGGUGCUUUAGCUUUGACAGGUAUUGUCUGAGAUCUCUAUCAGAGACCUGGCACUGAUCAAAGGGCAGGUGAUGUGGUACAAAGCCGUCCUUCUGUACUAACUCUGUGCAGGUGCUUUAUCACCUGGAAGGAGAACUGGGAGCUUUCUGUGGCUCGCAGGAGAGCUUCAAGGACAAACAGAAUUGCUCAGGCUUAUUGUGCUCCUCCAGCUGAAUGCCAAGGGACCUUCCUCUGACAACUAAUAAUCUUGAACCUGGGCACUUCUGUGGUGUCCACAGCACAACUGCUGCAGCCCUCUGAAAAUUUUGGCACUGGAGAGUUCCUAUGUCUCACCUCCCUUCUCUGCCCCUCUUCCUCCUUAAUCUGAAUUCUCCUCAUUCAUUUCUCCAGUACUUACCAAGAGUAUUAAAUGCUUAGGCAAAUAGCACAUAACCAGUCCCUUCUCAGAGCUGUGCUGACAGCUGCCACCACCACCCUGCCUGGCACCCAAAGGUGCUUUCCUGAAGCAGCCAAAAGCAGACAGACUUUCUCUCCCAAUACUGCUUCUUCUCAAAGUCAAUCAGGGACACUGAGCAGGUCCGUGAGCCUAGAGAGGAUUUCAGACUGGGACAGAGCCCUCGUUUUCUGGAGUCUGAGUCACUUUUAUCUAGUAACUGGUGGAUGAGGGGUGACAGAAAAAGGCGGGGUAUGGACUGGGAUCACAUCACACAGGGCCUGGAUGAGUUCUCUAGGGGCUUUUAGGUCAAAGUUCACAAGGCAGUGGGUGCUGCCAAGGCUCCACAGUGGUGGGCAGGGCCAUCAUGGCUUGGCUGUCUGGCUACAAUAAUAUUUUUCUUAUGCCAAGUUUAAUAUAAUUGAAGUUUACACACACACACUCACACACACAGAGGCAAACACUUAGCUUUCAUAAUUCCGUUGCAGUAGACAUCAAUCACAAUUGUCCAUGCCCAAAUGGCAAUAAGCCCACUAAGAACUCAGCCACUUCCAGAAAUCUCUUUCCCUGUAAAACCUCAGUGCAGCCUCUCAGCCCAGCCUACAGACCAGCUGUCUCCACUCACAGCCGCUGUGGUCAUCUUCGUGCUCUGGGAAUCACCAAGCCUUCUGCCUGUGAAGUCUCCAGGAGGAGCCAGUGCUGUCCCUGCAGGAAGGUGUCCCCUGUGAGGACCCCAGGCCCACACACUUCCUGGAAGCUGUCCACGAUCACGAGGCUCCUCACAGAGGCACAGCCAAGCCCUCUCCUUGCUGCACCCCUUGCUCUGACAUCUUUUAGGCUGUGGCUCCCCCAUAAAUCUCUGGUUAAUUGUUGUGUCUCAGAUCAAGAAUGUCCUCCAAAGUCCUCAUGUGCUCCUAGAAGGGGCUUUGGAAGUAACUGGAUCAUGGUGCUCAUAGCUGCCUACUGACAGGAGGCUGGGUUUGCUGGGAGGAGGCAGUCACUGGGGUGUGGCCUGGAAGGGUUAUUUCCCUUCCUGGCUCCUCCCUCUGCACAUUGCUUCCUGCUUCCAUGAUGUGAGCAACUCUCUUUCCCCAGGCCCAUCCAUGAUGCCCUUUCUGCCUGGGAGCCUGCUGACCAUGGAUUGAAAAUGUGAGGCAUAUAAACUCCUCUCUCAAGUGGUGACUAUUAGGUGUUUUGUUCAGAUAGGGAGAAAUCAAUUAACACAUUUUCUCUUACACUUCAUCCUUUGGCUCCACCUUCAAAAUGUGUUCAGAUGCUGACCACAAACGUGACCUGCUGAGUGACACUCUCCAGGCACACAUCUCUGCCACUUGGAGCCUGUGACUGUGCAGGGAAAAGGGGCUUAGCAGAUGUGAUUAAGGCUCCUGAGUUGGGGAGGUGAUGCUGGGUUAUUCUGGUGUCAGAUGGACCAACUGUGGGCAUAGGGUCCUUACAGUAGAGAGGCUGGAGGCCAGAGUCAGAGCAGGAGGCUUGCUUGGAGGAAGCUGAAGACAGGAGGAAGAAAUGAAGGAGAAGGGGAAGGGAGGAGGAGAGAAUGAAUUGGAAAGUGAUAUUCUCCUUUGCUAACAUGAAAAAGCACCUCAGCAGAGGAGUCGGGCAGUGUCUAGAAACUACGCCAGGUAAGGAGGCUGUUUCCACCACAGAGCCCCAGUAGAGGGCAGGACCAUCCCUACCAAUGCCUUAGGACUCUGGGAUCCUCACCUCAGAGCUGUGAGAGAGCAAGCGCUUGUUGUUUGAAGACACCGUGUCUGUGGUGCUUUGAUACAGCAGUGACAGUAAAUGAAAGCAGCAUCUCACCAUCCAGCUCCACAACCUGGUGGGACACAGUGUCCUUCGACUGGGUCUCCCUGCAUCAAUCUUUGCUGUCUGGUGCUCUGGGAAUGUCAGCUGGGUCACACUGUGCCACUCCUCUUCUCACAGUUCCCAUGUCACCCAGAGUAAAAGCUGAGGUGCAGAGCUUGGUUUCAUGGGGCUGGGCCCCCACAGCUGCACCCCUGCAUCAGUCUCUCCUACUCCUGCUCUCCAUCAUGAUUCACAGCAGCCAAGCUGGCCCCCAGGCUCUUAUGAUCAACACCUUCUUUCAGAAAAGUUAAAUUUCUUAAAUAAGUGGGAGCGCAUACUUAAAACAACUUUAAUAGGUUUUGACAUGGAGUCUUGCGUGCUAGUCAGUUUUCUGUUACUCUAACAAAGCUCCCAACACAAUCAAUUUCAAACAUGAAAGGGUUACUUUGGCUCCUGAUCUCAGAGUUUCUGUCUGCAAUCAUGAAUCCACCACUUGUGCCAGAGCAGCCCAUCAUAAUGGAGCAGGCAGUGGAAGGAGCUGCUCACCUACCUCACAGCUUUUGGGAAGCAGAUAAAGAGGAAGAAAUGCCCCAGGCCACUGGGUCAGCACCCUAAGACCUCCAUCUGUGCUCUACCUCUUAAAGGUCCCCCCACUCACAACAGUGCCAAGCUUGGGAUAAUUCCAGCCUUUGAGGGACAUUUCAGAUCCAAACUGUAGCAGCCUCGUAAUAAGAUUCUUGCCUGUGUCUUUUCCAGCCUUGUAGAGAGGAGACCUGACCCCCUUUCCUGGGGUUCCCACUUCCUCCAGACUCUCACAGACCUCUUUCUUCUUGCUUAAGAGCCAUCAAUCCAAACAGACUUUAGUUUCCUUCCUUCUUCACAGAACUGGACCCCAGACCCACAGGCGGCGGCAGAGGGGGGCUUCUUCUGGAGGUCGCUCCUCACUCAGUGUCUGGGCCUGUGCUUGGCUUGUGAACCCACUCAGCUCAGGGACUGCAUGCUUUUUGUGGAAUUUGGUCUUACACACAGUGACCUUUGACAGUACAUUCAUGAGAUCAAAGCACAAUUGCUAUCUGUUGAAAAUCUGGCCUGGGGGCUCCUUGAAAGCAAUGAAAACAUAAAUGUAAACAGAAGAAAGUGACCAUGGACUAUGCAUGCUGCUACAGCCAUUUGUAAUUUUUAUUUAGCCAGCAGCUGACAUAGAAUAAAGUGAAUUUGAAAGUAAAAUUUCUAAUUCCACACAAAAAUCCAUACAGUGUCAAAAUCUCCACGUUCUGACUGGCUAAGUGUUCACCACCUGAUAGAUAUCUUUAAAGAAAUCCAUUUCGGUAGACAAAACAACUACUCUGUCAUCAUCUCCUCCUCCAGCAAGCCUGACUGCUUAGACCACAUCAGACUGCAUGUGACUCCACAUGCAUGAAAAUCCUCCAGUAACCUCAAGAUGUGAACCCCAUAGGUCCCCAGGGGCCCAACAGAUAAGACAUGUGAGCAUGAAGAGUUAUUCCUCCGGCAGCUGGAAAUUGCCUGGGCCAAGGUCAGGACAAUGUCAUACAACUCUCAUUUGUGAAGAGAAGAUGGACAUGUGGAUGCUUUUAUGUGAAUGAUCUCAGUUUUUUAAAGAAAAGGCCCAUGCCACAUAGUUUUUUACGGUGAAGUUUAAACUCAAGCACAACUGCACACUCCAAAGCAGAGUCUGCUGCCAUGCCACACAGGCUGCACUAGGAUGUGACUGCUGGUGCUGUUUUGAUGUUUGGAGCAGCUGCAGAGACUGAAGGGUGUGUGUGCACACUUUGUGGAUCCUCAUAAGCAUCUGAAUGUCAAGGUCCAGGAGCGACUCCUCCACAUGUGUGGCCACAUGUCAGAGCAGGGAGGAACGACAGGAAUGGGCAGCUGACCCCUGGCCUCGGCUGUCCUCCACCUCUCUUUUACCUUUACUAUUUGAAUGAAAGCACAGUGACACCAUCAUCCUCAAUGGAUCUGCUGCAGGCCCAUCACAGUGGGCAUGGAGUGGGGGAGGAGAUGGCAGUCAGGCUGGAGAGGGCUGCAUGGAACAGGUCUUCCCAGGCCUUUGGAAGAUGUGUGGCAGCUUUGACUCCACCCAAUAAGAGGUCAUAGAGGGUUUCCACAAGAAUGCACCAAGAUCUGCUUUGGAGUUCCUUGGGAAUCCUUGUCCCUGGGCCCUGAACACAGUGAUCAGGGGUUUAACCAGCCUUGCCCCACCCCAGGGCAGGCUCUUCUUGGACCAGGCUUCCGUCUCUCAUUGGCAUCACUUCCUGGUUCCCACUGCCUCUCCAGUUUGCAACCCAAGUUAAUAGCAGAAAUGCAGGACUGCGACAGGCAAAGGCAUUUGGGGGUGAAAGGGAGGUUUGGUUGUGUCUUCUGUACUCCCCGUCUCAGACCCCCUCCCCGCUGAGAAAGUAUGUAAAUGGGAAAGACAUGAGCUCCCUAGGAUUUCAACGUUUUAAAAGGAGAAAACAGUGCAAUUCAAGCAAAAGGUCGUGCAUAAAGUAACCUGUUUACUUUAGCCUCAGAUCCUGAGGAUUUUUAAUGGAAAGGCCAAUAGAAGCCACCCGAAGGUUUAAUCUCAUCUGUGGAGUUUCUGCUGAUACAGGUGACAUUUAGAAAAUAUGCAUCUCUCGGGUGUUCUAAAGGUCAGAGAGGCUAAGGGUUGGGUGCUUUGGUCUUUGUCCUCCAAUAAAGUGGAACUAAGCUCUGAUGCCUUCUCCUAAGACUCUUUGUUAGAGUUAGACUUUCAGGCAGCCUUCGGUAGGAUCAUCCAUCCAAACAGUGUGCCCUGCAUGCAGGACUCUUCAGUGGUUGUUGCUGGACCCUCCUUAGUGGCAGCUGGACUCUCCUGAACUCUGCAUUUUGUGGCCCUUCCCCUCAACAGACGUGGCAAUAUUAUCAGGGCUAACUCUGAGCCCCUGACACAGCUGGGCUCUCCUUGAACUAAUAUGCUAGGUUGGAAGCCGUGGAUUCCUGUGUUUAGAUUUGCAUUAUUAUUACCUUUGGUCUCAAGGUUCACUGUAGCAGUCUGUGGCUUUUAUACUUUGGCCGCCCUGAUCCCUUUCCAUCUCUCUGGCCUUGGAGCCUUUGCACCUGCCACGCUUCCCUGCAACCAGGCACCUCUUUCCCUAGAUCUUGGCCUGGCUGAUGCCUUUUCAGCAUGAGGGUUCCAUAGGAUGUCUAGUGCUCUGAGCAUCCUUGUGGUCAGCCUGUCCACACAGCCAUUUUCUGUCACAUGACUGUGACCUCUCCCAAAGGAUUCACCUCUACCUGGUAUUAUAAUACCUAAUUCUUUGCAGAGAGCUGUUUUCUUCUUCCCAGCAAGUUCCAAGAUAAAGCAGAUCUACAGGUCUUGUCUUGAGCAGUAACGCUGGUGACAGGCACUCCUGCUGGCUCCGAAGAGGCCCUCUACAAGGAUCUGCCACAUGAACCACAGAAAGCUGAUUUUCCUCCUCUUCCCUAGGAAGACUGGGUGACGUCAAGGAGCAGACCUUCUGCUGGGGAGGAGACCAGGUUUCAACCAACCUCAAGCAAAGACCUAUGCAGUUCCUAGGAAAAAAGGAAAGGAUAAAGGAAAGAAGAGAUAAAGAAGAGUGAAAGGAAAAAAGAUGGAAGGAAGAAAGGAAGAAAAAACUGAAGGGAAAUUCUGGAGGAAGGAAAGCAAACUCUCAUUCCCAAGGCAAUAGGGGAAAAGCCAUGUAUAAGAAGUAUCAGAAAAACUAUCCUGCACAGUGUUUGUUGACCACCCCAUGGGAUGUCUUUCACUGCUACAGUAACUAUAAUUAAUAAAAUUUUAAUAGGUACUGUUAGCUAACUCUAACACUGAAGACAGAUUCAGUAUGGGCUUCUGUAACAAAAUACAGUAGACUGGUUGGUACAAACAAAUAAAUCUGGAAGGUUCAGUAAUAAAGUCCGGGCUGGCUGGUGCCUGGUGAGGGCUCUUCUCCUGGCUGCCAGUAUCUACCUUUUCACUGUGUCGUCAUGCAGCUUCUCUGUCUCUGUCUUUCUAUCUCUGUAUCUCUGUGUCUCUGUCUCUCUCUGUCUGUCUCUCUCUGUCUCAGUCUCUCUGUGUCUCUGUCUCUGUCUCUCUCUGUCUCUGUUUUUCACUAUCUGUCUCUCUGUCUCUGUCUGUGUCUCUGUCUUUAUCUCUGUCUUUCUCUGUCUCUCACUGUCUGUCUGUCUGUCUGUCUGUCUGUCUGUCUGUCUCUGUCUGUCUCUUUCAUAUAAGCGUGUUAAUUACAUGUUUGGUCCCACACCUUUAUGACUAUCUAAACCAAUUACAGUGGUACCUUGGUUCACAAAACUCAAUUUAUUCCAAGAUUCUGGAUCUGGAGAAUAUGGCUAUGUUUGUGUUUGUGUGAGGAAUAUGGAUGUGGUUGUGUUUUCCACUGGAUGAGGAGUUUGCAAACAGAAGCAAAAUUUUGCCAAAUGCUUCUGUUUAUGAAUAGAAUUGUUAGCAAUCGGGAGCAUUGACAAGGUAUUCAUGUAUCACGAGGUAUUACUGUAUCUUGCUCCAACACAGGUUGCCCCCAAUACCAUCCCAAUAGGGUGUAACAGUUUCAAUAUAUGCAUUUUGGUUGUGGUUUCCAUAACACUGAGAGAGCAAGCAAAUGACUGAAAUAAUCCACAUUUUGUCUAAAGUCGAGGGUAGAACAGAACACCAAGAAGUCACCAAGCCUCAACCACCAGGAAUAAGGUGUCAGAGGCAUCACUCUCUCCCAAUGCUGUAGAGGGGCCCAAGGUUGGAGAGAGGCGCUCCCUGAGCUGGGGGCUCAGGAAAUGUCUGUGUAAAGCCUGGUGCAGCUGGAAGGCUGUGAGAAACUCUGGCAAACUAAGUCCCAUGCUAAGCAGGAGUCAGCAUCACCUGCCAAAACCAAGGACAACUAGAGCAACGGAAAAUCCCAAUCCCUGUGCAACUCCAGCCCAGGGCUGACGGACUCAACCCUAACCCGGCAACAGAUGAAAUGAACCCACUUGUGACUCAGGUACCGUUUGUCUCAGUUUGUGCUGCCACCCACAGAUCAUGUGCAACCUUCAACCAAAUAUAAUGACGCACAGGACAGAGCAAAACCGAAUAUCCAAAACAGGACAUUGUAAAGAGACGAAUCUACCAAUAAAAUCAGGGUCAGAUCUGACUUGGGUAUGGUAAUUAUCUUUAAAAAUUAAUAAUAAUUGUGGUUACUGCAGGAGUGAAAGUAGAUAAGGGUGACCAGCAAAUAUUGUGCAUGCUAAGUAAAGAAGGUUACUGCACUGCCCUCAGCCUCCCCAACUCCCUGGAUCUCAUCUUGAGCACAGUGAUCCCCUUGUUCUUACCUCUUGCCAAAUUGGUUCCAGAAGUCCACUUUUCUGAGUGUCUCAUGUGUGGUGUCACAGCUGCCUUGAUGUCCCAAAAGGAUUUAAAAUGUUUAUGACAGUUUUUGCUGAAGAAACCAUGACCCUAUAUGCUCGUCCACCUUGUUCACUGGGUCUGGUUCUGUGUCUUCUGACUUUUCCCCAAAGUCCAGUGAUGAGGAAACGUCACCUUCUAAGUGCCAUUUUCCCUUUCCCCAGACUUUGACCUAGGCAAGCACAUGUCUUAGGG